UAAGGUCACGGCGAGACGAGCCGUUUAUCAUUACGAUAGGUGUCAAGUGGAAGUGUAGUGAUGUAUGCAGCUGAGGCAUCCUAACAGACCGAGAGAUUUGAAC
rnacentral:rRNA from 4 species